CUACCUGAGUACUAUGAACGAACUAAGAUUUAAAACUCAAAGGACUUGGCGGUGUCUUAGACCGUUUAGGGGAACCUGUCUCGUAAUCGAUAGUCCACGUUACACCUGACCUUUUUUUGUUAUCAGUUUGUAUACCGUUGUCGUCAGGUAACUUUUUAGAAAAGGGAAGUUAGCAAGUAGAAAGAAAUUAUUUANUACGUCAAAUCAAGGUGCAGCUAAUAGAAAGGGGAGGAUGGGUUACAGUUAUUUAUUUAUAAUUUUACGGAUGCAAUUAUAGAAAUAUUUUGUUUAAGGAGGACUUAAAAGUAAAUUGAAAUAUAAGAGUAAUUUGAAUUAGGCUCUGACACGUGU
rnacentral:rRNA from 1 species